rnacentral:rRNA from 1 species
UCCAAUAGCGUAUAUUAAAGUUGUUGCGGUUAAAAAGCUCGUAGUUGGAUCUGUGUCCCGCGCCGCCGGUUCACCGCCUGUCGGUGUCAAACUGGCGUGUAUGCGGGACGUCCUGUCGGUGGUGGUCUGGGGCUACGUUGGCCCUAACGGAUGUCCAUGCGGCACCCCGAAGGCUGGCGUAUGUUUCCGGCCGCCUUUUCAAUCCCGCCGCGGUGCUCUUUACCGAGUGUCGAGGCGGGCCGGCACGUUUACUUUGAACAAAUUAGAGUGCUUCAAGCAGGCUCUUUUCUGCCUGCAUACUGUGUGCAUGGAAUAAUGGAAUAGGACCUCGGUUCUAUUUUGUUGGUUUUCGGAAUCUGAGGUAAUGAUCAAUGGGGACAGGCGGGGGCAUUCGUAUUGCGACGUUAGAGGUGAAAUUCUUGGAUCGUCGCAAGACGGACCGAAGCGAAAGCAUUUGCCAAGUAUGUUCUCGUCGAUCAAGAACGAAAGUUAGAGGUUCGAAGGCGAUCAGAUACCGCCCUAGUUCUAACCAUAAACUAUGCCUGCCAGCGAUCCGCCGGCGUUCCUCCGAUGACCCGGCGGGCAGCUUCCGGGAAACCAGAGCCUUUGGGUUCCGGGGGAAGUAUGGUUGCAAAGCUGAAACUUAAAGGAAUUGACGGAAGGGCACCACCAGGAGUGGAGCCUGCGGCUUAAUUUGACUCAACACGGGAAAACUCACCAGCCCGGACACCGGAAGGAUUGACAGAUUGAUAGCUCUUUCUUGAUUCGGUGGGUGGUGGUGCAU